rnacentral:lncRNA from 7 species
AUAGUCCUCCGUGGGACAGCUGGUGAGAAAAGCUGUAAGGGCAGAAGUGUCAUUUAAACAAAAAUAACUGAUUUGGGAUCUCCUGUAUGGGACAAAAGUGCUUACGAGUUACCAGUGUUUAUCCACACCGGAAUCAAUGGUUAGAGCUGAUCCAUUUUUGCCUUCAGUGUUUCUUUCACAAUACACACAGCAUGUACAUUUUUUGAUGCAAUACUUUGGAAGAAAGGAGUUGUACAGCUUCAUCGGUGCUGCAUGGUUUCCUUUUUUUGCUGUGUGCUUCCCUCCAGCCUGGCUGUCUGUGUCCACCUGUCGCCCCUGCUCUUAUGUUUCCAUUUGUCUACCCUGCAAAGUUUGGAUUUGUUUCACAUUUAUGGCAUGCAGUGGAGCAAUGGGAAGAGGAAAUAAUCCUUCAGCCCACCUUCCUGGUUCCUCACGUGUCAGCACUGUGAAGAUGCACUUAAGUGGUUCUGGAAAACCAAAAGCUCUGGACCUACCCCUCCUGCAGCUCCACAGCUGGAUGAUGGCUCUUGAGAGACUUUAGAGGAAUUUGCCAUUUGGAAAAAGGAAAAAAGAAGAACGUUUAAUUAGAGAUGGAGCUAAAGCAGAUAAUUUGAUCUUCCAAUGGAAAACAGAAUUACAGGUUAAAAAUGAAGAUUAUACACUCUGGUUUUGCAAUGUUUGGCCCUUUGCAAUUUUGCCUCUUCUGCAAAUAACAGGAGUGCCCAUUUCUGCUCUGCCUGGACCAGGCUUUUGGGUUACGGACUCUCAGUUCGCAAGGGAUUUGUUAGUACCACCAGACUGCUUCUUUUUCACCAAAAUUACGCUACUCUAUUAAAAUCAGCUGGAAAUAC